GGUCUAGAGUCUCUGUGUGUAGAGGACAGGUGGUCUAGUGUCUCUAUGUGUAGAGGACAGGUGGUCUAGUGUCUCUAUGUGUAGAGGACAGGUGGUCUAGUGUCUCUGUGUGUAGAGGACAGGUGGUCUAGUGUCUCUGUGUGUAGAGGAC